rnacentral:lncRNA from 1 species
UAAUUCCAGCACAGUCCAAGUCCUAAUGUAAUAUUAGAAAUGCUAACUAAAAUGUCCUCAAAAUGCAACAAAAUGUACUUAAGUGCAAGCAAUUAGCUAGGUCUAAAGACAUGAAAUAUAACUAUUUUCAAGAGUUAUCAGACCCCCAAACCUGAGUUAUUGCUUGUUCUCAAGCAAAAUACAUCUAAAUGCAUGAACACACC